UGCCAGUCCGUGCGUGUGCUUUACCUAAUAAUAUUUCCACGGCUAGUCCCGCUCCUCUUCUUUCGCCCGAUACACGCAUCUCGCACCUUCUCCUCUAUCUCUUUCCCUGUCUCCCUUUUUCCCACUCGCUCUCUCUCUCUUUCUCCCUCCGCACGUGUUUCUACAUACACGCACACACACGUUUACGUGUACCACCCUCUUCCUCUCGCUCUCCCUCGCUCCGUAGGAUCCCGGCAGCCUCGCGUAGAGGCCUUCGCGUCGCGGCCACCCUCCUCCACCCCGAUCCGUCCCGACGGAUCUCACGAAAGCGAGAGAGGAGAAGAAUCACGCUGCAGAGCAGCACGUGUGCUGCACUCGCGCGGAUCGGCAAGCGCGGUGGUUUAUAGUCAAUCGCUCUCUCUCCUCCGCCGAGAGAGCCACCGCGCCGAUAGUCGAUGCAAAGUCAGUUGGCCGCGUUCCUGGGACUGAUCGGCGAUCGAGGGAUCGUUAGCGACAGGCUGGUCUAGCGCGCGAUUAGUCAUUGAGAGUGAGGGGUUGUUCCGCGAGCGAGCGAGCACCGGCCGCAGCUCACGAUUGGAGCGACAGAUCGAUCCGCGAGUCGAAUCGGAGUGCCCGAUCCCCGCGCGAGUGAUCGUAAAGACAGGGCGCAACUCGCGGAUCGUCCGGGGACUGUGAUUAUCGAUGUACGCGAGGUGCGACGAAAGCAAGCUCUAACCAAACGGAUUCGCAGUGGUACUAUCGACGAGGAGGACGUCGGAGGGAGGAGGGACACCGUCGGCCGUCGGCAGCUCUUGUGAACGGAAGUGUUCAAAGGCCCGAAGAUUCUGCCUUCGCAGCAGCUAGGCGCUGCGGUCGCUCCAUGGCCGGGCGCAACCGGCCUGAUAGCCUCCGUCACUGCUGACGACAUGGCACACAAAGGGCAUAGCGGGGUGAACCAGCUGGGGGGUGUCUUCGUCGGCGGCCGGCCGCUUCCGGACUCGACUCGACAGAAGAUCGUCGAGCUCGCGCACUCGGGCGCGCGACCCUGCGACAUCUCCAGGAUAUUGCAGGUCAGCAACGGCUGCGUCUCGAAGAUCCUCGGCAGCAGGUACUAUGAGACCGGUUCCAUAAGACCCAGGGCAAUCGGCGGCAGCAAACCGCGCGUGGCAACGGCGGAAGUUGUCAACAAGAUCUCAAUUUACAAAAGCGAGUGUCCGUCGAUCUUCGCGUGGGAGAUCCGAGAUCGUUUGCUGCAAGAAGGCGUCUGCACAAAUGACAACAUUCCGAGUGUGUCCUCGAUCAACAGGGUACUGAGGAAUCUGGCAGCGCAGAAGGAACAGAGGCAGCAGCAGCAACAGCAGCAGCAAGGGGUGGGUGCUGUGGGGGUUGGCGUCGGUGCUGGCAGCCCGGCGGAGAGCGUUUACGAUAAACUCAGGCUACUAAACGGGCAGACCACCGGCUGGCCGCGUCCCAAUCCCUGGUACCCAUCGAGCGCGGGGAGUCCAUUCUCGUCGAUACAAUCUAGUUUGAGUCCGAGCCACUGUUCAUCCCUGCCACCAGAUCCGGCGGACAUAUUGCACGCGAAGAAAGUGAGCGAGCUGGAAGGUGGCGCGCACUCGGAUGAGACGAACAGCGGAGGUGACAACAGCAACGCCGGCAGCGUGUCGGGUGGUGCUGACGACGAUCAGGCGCGUCUCCGGCUGAAGAGGAAACUACAGAGGAAUCGCACCAGCUUCAGUAACGAGCAGAUUGAUGCGCUCGAGAAGGAGUUCGAGAGGACACACUACCCCGAUGUGUUUGCCAGGGAGAGACUUGCCGGCAAAAUCGGCCUACCGGAAGCGCGAAUACAGGUCUGGUUUUCGAAUCGGCGGGCAAAGUGGCGGCGCGAGGAGAAAUUACGCACGCAACGGAGGGACAAUCCGCAGCAGCAGCAGCAACAGCAACAACAGCCACAGCAACAGCAGCAACAGCAUAAUGCCGGCGUGAGCCUGGUGGGUACCGGUCAUCCGACACCACCACCACCCUCGGGGAUACUCGGAGGUCAACCGCCGCCGCAAGCACCACCCUCGCCGCCUAGAAUACACCAUGGAUUUGCGCCCACCGCCGUGUACCCCGGUAUACCCAGCAUGCCCGACUCGUACAGCCCGAUGACGUCGAUGCCGAGCUUCACGAUGUCGGGUGCCAGCCAGCAAAAUCAGCACACGACGAGCAGCAUGUCCUCGCUGUCUGCCGGCAGUGCCAUGAGUCCGAUGGGAAUGACCGUGGGCAUGACUGUCGGGCCUAGUCCGGGCGCUUGCCUCCAGCAACGGGACAACGGCUACUCGUGCGGGGUUGCGAGACCGCCGAGCUACGAGCCCUUACAUCUGGGUUACGGUGCCAGGCCGACGUGUAGCCCUACGCAGCCCUACCACGCGGCCAGUCUCAACCAGUAUAAUCAGAACGCCAGCUCGACCGGUGAGUGUCUACCGCACUCACUGCAUUCGCUGCUUGCACUCUAGCCGAUGGACUACUGCUACGGCUACCAUGGAUAACACGCUAUCGAGCCCGCCGGUCUGAUAUCACCUGGCGUGAGUGUGCCGAUCGCGGUACCAGGUCAACCGGCACCCGACAUGGCAGCGCAAUACUGGUCACCGAGGCUGCAGUGACCGUGGUGGUCGUCGACGUCGACCUCGUCUCCGUAGACUUGAGCUUCUUCGUCCCCCUAGUUCUACGGAGUUCCCGGAAACCCGCACGUUGUAAUUGAGCAAUCGGUUCGCGCGCGCGCAUAGUGUAAAUCGAAAUGAAAAUAGUGCGUUUCGUUCAAGCCAAAAGUCUGCAUGGAAACGUGUUCGAUUUGUCCGUAUUCCGCCAUCUACCAUUUUCGUUUCGGCGAGGCGAAUGCAUCAGGAAUUUAUCGCGAAGAGCGUUUAAAACCUGCGAAUGCAUUCAUUUAGACGCUUAACGAUAGAGUCAUCUGAAAAGUUGACGAAUUCGUGCCGGUGAACGCGAAGAAUUUAAUUGGACAGCUGUAUCCGAUCUCCAUUUCUGUAAACUGGCCAAAAUCGGUGGUGUAGCAUUUACGUAUAAUUGCAAUACAAAUGUGGACGAUGUCGUGAAUUGAUUUACAGACGGAUUAACCGAUUUGUUUGUGUACAGUUAGUGAAUCUUAUAGUCGUAAAAUUAAAUUCCCAUACUUGUACUAAAAAUGAAUAUUUAUGCACUUACGAUCGACACCUUCCCCUGAUCAUGGUCUCUUUAUCGUUCAUAGACAGGUAUUUAAAAUAACGCAAUUUUUUCGUACUUUCACUAGCAGUGCUCGAUAUCUCGUUAUGUGCAAAGAGACGACAUUUCUCCUCUUUAUUUGCUAUAUAAUACUGCUAUAUAAUAAUAUGCGACGAUAACUGGUAGAGAUACACGAUCUUUGUAAGACGUAUUAAUAUAUCAAUCAGCGACAGCCCCACGAUUGUUAAUGAUUACAUCGUUAUAUUAAUACGAUUAAUGAUCGGCACGCAAAAUGUCACAAGAUCGAAAAUCUUAAUUAAAAUAUUACGCACGUAUCGACACGCUUUUGUGUGAUUACAAGCUUUUUAUUCGUAAAAUUAUUCCUCCAGACCAAUAUCUCUGAAAUAGAAUCGAGCAAAGGUGAUGCGACGUGAUCACGAAAAAGGAUAUGAAUCGUCGUCGGCAAUGUGCAACUGAUGUAAAACAAAUUAAUUAGCGUGAAAAAUGAGACAGGGCAAACAUUUGCUCUCGAGAAAUCUCGCGAAGUUUUCAUUCGCAAGUGUCAUAGCUGUAACUUCCAUAGGGCAAGAUGAGAGGAAAAAAAAUUAAAAUAGUUUCUAAGUCGGUAUUACGUUAUUAUUUAUACUUGUAUAACGAGCGGAGGAGCCGGGAGACGAAUAAACGUGAGUUCGUUGUGUGUAACAUCGUAAGAAUAUCCGAUACAGUCAUUUAUAUAUAAAUAUAUACAUAGUUGACGCUAAUUAAUUCUGUAAGUAACUUGAUAAAAUCAAUUCGUAAUUUAUAUCCGGCGCGAGGUCGAGAAAGAUAAACGAGAAUGGUGGACCGAAAAUGCCGAUUGUGAUUUCCCUUAGGCCGCACAGGUAUGUUAAGCGUACGAUUAUGCAUUCUAAGUAAAUAGUGUGUGCAUUUAAUCGAGAGUUCUCUCAAUGCUUGUUUUCUAAUUGGAGAGUCCAAUUGCGAGAGAUCUUAGCGUGUACACGUGAACAUUCGCUUUCUCUCUCUCUCUCUCUCUCUCUCUCUCUCUCUCCCUCCCUCCCUCCCUCCUCUCUCUCUUUGUAUAAAACAUUGGUUGUAGAGAGUAAGCCAAGAAUGCACGCGUCUAGUACUAGAGACACUGAAAAUAAAACUGUCAAAGAUAACUAACGAUCGUGCUCUGUUUCCUAUUAGAAAUCAAGCGCAAUACUCCUUUCCGAACGUGUUCAUCGAUAAUUUAUAUUUGUAUUUGCCUGUUUCGUUAAUAUUCUUAGUAUACUCGAUAACCGUAAAAAGAUAUCAACGAUCGCGCUCUCCUGCAUUGUCGUCCGAAUCGAGAAAAAUCGAAUCACUUAGGGGAGUAAAGGAAAGCGGAACGCAAGCAGAAAAAUAUACCACUUUAUCUUGCAAAUGUAACAAUUGUAUAUUUAUUUCGACUUAAUAAUUAAUUUACACU
rnacentral:misc_RNA from 1 species